rnacentral:rRNA from 1 species
CCUACGGGAGGCAGCAGUGAGGAAUAUUGGACAAUGGGCGCAAGCCUGAUCCAGCCAUGCCGCGUGCAGGAAGACGGUCCUAUGGAUUGUAAACUGCUUUUAUACAGGAAGAAACACUCCCUCGUGAGGGAGCUUGACGGUACUGUAAGAAUAAGGAUCGGCUAACUCCGUGCCAGCAGCCGCGGUAAUACGGAGGAUCCAAGCGUUAUCCGGAAUCAUUGGGUUUAAAGGGUCCGUAGGCGGUUUAAUAAGUCAGUGGUGAAAUCUGGUCGCUCAACGAUCAAACGGCCAUUGAUACUGUUAGACUUGAAUUAUAAGGAAGUAACUAGAAUAUGUAGUGUAGCGGUGAAAUGCUUAGAUAUUACAUGGAAUACCAAUUGCGAAGGCAGGUUACUACUUAUGGAUUGACGCUGAUGGACGAAAGCGUGGGGAGCGAACAGGAUUAGAUACCCUGGUAGUCCACGCCGUAAACGAUGGAUACUAGCUGUUCGGAGCAAUCUGAGUGGCUAAGCGAAAGUGAUAAGUAUCCCACCUGGGGAGUACGUUCGCAAGAAUGAAACUUAAAUGAAAUUGACCGGNGUGAGAGAGCGACGACGACGACGAGGGAGGAGG